rnacentral:rRNA from 1 species
GUCGAGCGCACUCUUCAGAGUGAGCGGCAGACGGGUGAGUAACGCGUGGGAAUCUACCCAUCUCUACGGAAUAACUCAGGGAAACUUGUGCUAAUACCGUAUACGCCCUUCGGGGGAAAGAUUUAUCGGAGAUGGAUGAGCCCGCGUUUGAUUAGCUAGUUGGUGGGGUAAAGGCCUACCAAGGCGACGAUCAAUAGCUGGUCUGAGAGGAUGAUCAGCCACACUGGGACUGAGACACGGCCCAGACUCCUACGGGAGGCAGCAGUGGGGAAUAUUGGACAAUGGGCGAAAGCCUGAUCCAGCCAUGCCGCGUGAGUGAUGAAGGCCCUAGGGUUGUAAAGCUCUUUCAACGGUGAAGAUAAUGACGGUAACCGUAGAAGAAGCCCCGGCUAACUUCGUGCCAGCAGCCGCGGUAAUACGAAGGGGGCUAGCGUUGUUCGGAAUUACUGGGCGUAAAGCGCACGUAGGCGGAUCGUUAAGUGAGGGGUGAAAUCCC